GUGAGGAAUUUUCCGCAAUGGGCGAAAGCCUGACGGAGCAAUGCCGCGUGAAGGAUGAAGGCCUAUGGGUUGUAAACUUCUUUUCUCAGAAAAGAAUUAUGACGGUAUCUGAGGAAUAAGCAUCGGCUAACUCUGUGCCAGCAGCCGCGGUAAGACAGAGGAUGCAAGCGUUAUCCGGAAUGAUUGGGCGUAAAGCGUCUGUAGGUUGUUUAAAAAGUAUUCUGUCAAAGAUUAGGGCUUAACCCUAGAUAGGCAGAAUAAACUUUUAAGCUAGAGUUUGGUAGAGGCAGAAGGAAUUCACGGUGGAGCGGUGAAAUGCGUAGAUAUCGUGAGGAACACCAAAGGCGAAGGCACUCUGCUGGGCCAAUACUAACACUGAGAGACGAAAGCGAGGGGAGCAAAUGGGAUUAGAAACCCUAGUAGUCC
rnacentral:rRNA from 1 species